rnacentral:rRNA from 1 species
GGUUAAGCGACUAAGCGUACACGGUGGAUGCCCUGGCAGUCAGAGGCGAUGAAGGACGUGCUAAUCUGCGAUAAGCGUCGGUAAGGUGAUAUGAACCGUUAUAACCGGCGAUUUCCGAAUGGGGAAACCCAGUGUGAUUCGUCACACUAUCAUUAACUGAAUCCAUAGGUUAAUGAGGCGAACCGGGGGAACUGAAACAUCUAAGUACCCCGAGGAAAAGAAAUCAACCGAGAUUCCCCCAGUAGCGGCGAGCGAACGGGGAGGAGCCCAGAGCCUGAAUCAGUGUGUGUGUUAGUGGAAGCGUCUGGAAAGGCGCGCGAUACAGGGUGACAGCCCCGUACACAAAAAUGCACAUGCUGUGAGCUCGAUGAGUAGGGCGGGACACGUGGUAUCCUGUCUGAAUAUGGGGGGACCAUCCUCCAAGGCUAAAUACUCCUGACUGACCGAUAGUGAACCAGUACCGUGAGGGAAAGGCGAAAAGAA